rnacentral:rRNA from 1 species
CGGUAACAGAUCUAGUCUUGCUAGAUGCUGACGAGCGGCGGACGGGUGAGUAACGCGUAGAUCCUACCAGUAGGAGGGGAUACGGACCCGGGGAAACUCGGAUUAAUACCGCAUAAUCUCUAAGGAGUAAAGGGGGCUUCGGCUCUCGCUAUUGGAUGAGCCUGCGUGGGAUUAGCUAGUUGGUGAGGUAAAGGCUCACCAAGGCGACGAUCUCUAACUGGUCUGAGAGGAUGAUCAGUCACACUGGAACUGAGACACGGUCCAGACUCCUACGGGAGGCAGCAGUGGGGAAUAUUGCACAAUGGGCGCAAGCCUGAUGCAGCCAUGCCGCGUGUGUGAAGAAGGCCUUCGGGUUGUAAAGCACUUUCAGUGGGGAGGAAGGCCAAGUAGUUAAUACCUGCUUGGAUUGACGUUACCCACAGAAGAAGCACCGGCUAACUCCGUG